AGAUAGACUGGCGCUCCCUGAGGGA
rnacentral:piRNA from 1 species